rnacentral:rRNA from 1 species
AUGAACAUUGCCCUCCUGUCCAAAUGGCUUUGGCGGAUCCAAACUGAGGAGGGCGGCCUGUGGCUUCAGAUUAUACGUGGGAAGUACCUUCGCGGGCAACCAUUAGCGUUUGCCUCUAGGUCUGGAGGCUCCCAAUUCUGGCAAUCGGUGAUGUCUUUGUUACCGAUUCUGCGCAUUGGGACCUCCAUCCAAAUAGGCUCUGGGGCUGCCACACUUUUU